ACGUUUAACUAUUCAUCUUAUUUGAAAUUUUUUUAUAAUUAGUAUUCUUAUUGUUAUUAGAUGAUAAAACAUUAAUAAUACUUUAUGUGUGACUAUUUUUUUUAUUUUUUAUAAAUUUUUUAAAUAAGACGGACGGUCAAACCGU
rnacentral:pre_miRNA from 1 species